rnacentral:rRNA from 1 species
UACAUGUGGGGCAAGCGUUGUUCGGAAUUACUGGGCAUAAAGGGUGCGUAGGUGGCUUGCUAAGUCAGUGGUGAAAUCGUCCGGCCCAACCGGACGCCUGCCAAUGAUACUGGUGAGCUCGAGUGCGUGAGGGGUGGGGGGAACGAGCAGUGUAGCGGUGAAAUGCGUAGAUAUUGCUCGGAAGGCCAAAGCCGAAGGGACCCCACUGGUACGUAACUGACACUGAGGCACGAAAGCGUGGGUAGCAAACAGG